GGAUCAAAUCAAGCGCGAAAAGGGCGUUUGGUGGAUGCCUUGGCAGUAAGAGGCGAUGAAGGACGUGAUACUCUGCGAUAAGCGUAGGUUAGCCGAGAAUAGGCUUUGACCUCUGCGAUUUCCGAAUGGGGCAACCCAG
rnacentral:rRNA from 1 species